AUGAAACGCUCACAGCUACAUUAAACUUCUUCAAGAGAGGACGCCGAGGAGGGGCGAAAGGCAAGUUUUCAAAGAGACUGGACAAAAAAGAACCAGACGCCAAAGAACAACAUAAAAGAAACCGUGUCCGAGAUCUCCUCAGGAUCCUUUUGGUUAAUUCGGCGGUGGUUGGGUUUGGGUUCCUUUACACGCCGAUAAUGACGAUAUAUUCGUUACAAGCCACCGGACUCAACAGUACCGUGAACGGACAUUUGUUUCCUUCUCCAUCCACACAGAUCAUAUUAUUCAACGAAGUGGUGAUAGUGCUCGUUAUCCCUUUUACCAUCUACUAUUUGUAUCCACGGAUAUCGUCACGGAAACGGCGACUGUAUAUAUCUAGAACAUGUGUUGGGGUGGUCCUUUCCAUUAUAUCUGGACUGGUUGCGAUUGCGUUGGAAAUGGGGCGUAAGAUGAAUUGUGCUCAAAACCGGGGUUUUUCCACCAUUAGCAUCUUUGCUCAGGGCCCACAGUAUGGUCUUAUCGCUCUCGCUGAAGUGUUCACU